UACGUAGGGGGCGAGCGUUGUCCGGAAUCAUUGGGCGUAAAGAGCUCGUAGGCGGCUUAGUGAGUCGGUUGUGAAAGCCCGAGGCUCAACUUCGGGACUGCGGUCGAUACUGCUAUAGCUAGAGUUUGGUAGAGGAGAACGGAAUUCCCGGUGUAGCGGUGAAAUGCGCAGAUAUCGGGAGGAACACCGGUAGCGAAGGCGGUUCUCUGGGCCAAUACUGACGCUGAGGAGCGAAAGCGUGGGGAGCAAACAGG
rnacentral:rRNA from 1 species